rnacentral:rRNA from 1 species
GACGAACGCUGGCGGCGUGCUUAACACAUGCAAGUCGAACGGAAAGGCCCUGCUUUUGUGGGGUGCUCGAGUGGCGAACGGGUGAGUAACACGUGAGUAACCUGCCCUUGACUUUGGGAUAACUUCAGGAAACUGGGGCUAAUACCGGUUAGGAGCUCCUGCUGCAUGGUGGGGGUUGGAAAGUUUCGGCGGUUGGGGAUGGACUCGCGGCUUAUCAGCUUGUUGGUGGGGUAGUGGCUUACCAAGGCUUUGACGGGUAGCCGGCCUGAGAGGGUGACCGGCCACAUUGGGACUGAGAUACGGCCCAGCCUCCUACGGGAGGCAGCAGUGGGGAAUAUUGCACAAUGGGCGGAAGCCUGAUGCAGCAACGCCGCGUGCGGGAUGACGGCCUUCGGGUUGUAAACCGCUUUCGCCUGUGACGAAGCGUGAGUGACGGUAAUGGGUAAAGAAGCACCGGCUAACUACGUG